CGAAGGAUCCAAGCGUUAUCCGGAUUCAUUGGGUUUAAAGGGAGCGUAGGCGGGUUUAUAAGUCAGUGGUGAAAGCCGAUCGCUUAACGAUCGAACUGCCAUUGAUACUGUAGACCUAGAGUACAGAUGAUGUUGGCGGAAUAUGACAUGUAGCGGUGAAAUGCAUAGAUAUGUCAUAGAACACCGAUUGCGAAGGCAGCUGACAAAACUGUAACUGACGCAGAGGCUCGAAAGUGCGGGGAUCAAACAGGAUUAGAUACCCUGGUAGUCCGCACAGUAAACGAUGAUAACUAGUUGUUUGCGAUAUACAGUAAGCGACCAAGCGAAAGCGAUAAGUUAUCCACCUGGGGAGUACGCCCGCAAGGGUG
rnacentral:rRNA from 1 species